AGCGGGAUGGAGCAGUCCGGUAGCUCGUCAGGCUCAUAACCUGAAGGUCGUAGGUUCAAAUCCUACUCCCGCAACCA
rnacentral:tRNA from 3 species